UCCUCAAGCGCUGGGCCUCUCCCCGGGAGCCGGAAACAGAAAGUUGCUUCCCAACUCUGAAUGUCUGAAUCUCCCAGAUGAUCCGAAUCAGCGGAUUAGAAACCAGAAUCACACUGGUUAGAAACCCAGACUCCGGAUAUCCUUCCACUCCUGGCCAGCUAAGUCAAAAUCUCCGCACCGAGACCCGGAAUCUGGAUUUAACCAGAGAAAGAAGCUGGAGUGGUUGUUGAAAGACGGCACCUAGGCGAUUGAGCCAAGGCUUACAGCCUGGACCUCUGACGACUGCUGAGUAAGAACCUGACAGACCACUCCACCACAGCCUACC